rnacentral:tRNA from 1 species
GAGGAUAUAGCUCAGUGGUAGAGUACAUGCUUAGCAUGCACGAGGUCCUGGGUUCAAUCCCCAGUUCCUCC